rnacentral:rRNA from 1 species
AACGAACGCUGGCGGCAUGCCUAACACAUGCAAGUCGAACGAGACCUUCGGGUUUAGUGGCGCACGGGUGCGUAACGCGUGGGAACCUGCCCUUAGGUUCGGAAUAACUCCCCGAAAGGGGUGCUAAUACCGGAUAAUGUCUUCGGACCAAAGAUUUAUCGCCUUUGGAUGGGCCCGCGUUGGAUUAGCUAGUUGGUAGGGUAAAAGCCUACCAAGGCGACGAUCCAUAGCUGGUCUGAGAGGAUGAUCAGCCACACUGGGACUGAGACACGGCCCCGACUCCUACGGGAGGCAGCAGUGGGGAAUAUAGGACAAUGGGCGAAAGCCUGAUCCAGCAAUGCCGCGUGAGUGAUGAAGGCCUUAGGGUUGUAAAGCUCUUUUACCCGAGAUGAUAAUGACAGUACCGGGAGAAUAAGCACCGGCUAACUCCGUG